AGAUAGAGAGCUACUGGAAGUUGUAGGAAUGGGCGGUUUGGGAAAAAAUCAUAUACAUAAAUACGAUAACAGAUUACGUCGAAAAUCAAAUUAAGUGUAUACAAGUUUUCUUCCCAAUGUCGCCCAUUCCGAUGAUUUCCAGAAGCUCCUCCCUUUC
rnacentral:pre_miRNA from 1 species